rnacentral:lncRNA from 1 species
CCCGUUCACACUUGCRCUUACAAAGCUAUAUGCCUUGAACWUUAAUUCACCAGGUACUGGGCUUGAGAGAGCAUCACCGGUAAAGCAUGCAGCACGUGACACCACGGACGCAUCACCCCAAAGAUAGUGCAUUGGGUGGUGUGUGCAGGAGGGAGCAAGUUCUCCCUCGGUGYCUUGGAGGCUCCCGUGCUCCUGCUUUCCCUGCGCUCCAGCCCCUGCAAAGAGGCAGCUGCUCCCGUUUCCUGUGCACGGUAAAAGGCCACCUUGGAGCAAAGGUGACUGUGCUGGAUUUGCAGCUGGGAAGACGGUUGUCACCACCCAGGUGCGUCCGUUGCACCGGCCUGGGAGGAAGGUGGGAGAGACCCACCGACGACAAGCACGGCGGAGAACUCAGGUAGGAGCAGCGUUCGGUCAGCAACGGAGAUAGAAAUUUUGAGAAAACCCUGUGAAGAGA